rnacentral:rRNA from 1 species
GAUGAACGCUAGCGGGAGGCCUAACACAUGCAAGCCGAGCGGUAUUUGUUCUUCGGAACAGAGAGAGCGGCGCACGGGUGCGGAACACGUGUGCAACCUGCCUUUAUCUGGGGGAUAGCCUUUCGAAAGGAAGAUUAAUACCCCAUAAUAUAUUGAGUGGCAUCAUUUGAUAUUGAAAACUCCGGUGGAUAGAGAUGGGCACGCGCAAGAUUAGAUAGAUGGUGAGGUAACGGCUCACCAAGACAAUGAUCUUUAGGGGGCCUGAGAGGGUGAUCCCCCAGACUGGUACUGAGACACGGACCAGACUCCUACGGAGGGGGGCAGUGAGGAAUAUAGGACGAGGGGUUAGCGCCUGAUCCAGCCAUCCCGCGGGAAGGACGACGGCCCUAGGGGUUGUAAACUUCUUUUGUAUAGGGAUAAACCUACUCUCGUGAGAGUAGCUGAAGGUACUAUACGAAUAAGCACCGGCUAACUCCGUG